CGACCAAUACGGAGAGGUGCGAAUUCAACCGGUUCUCUCCAAGAUUUUUCAUCCUGGGCUGUUCCAUCUCUGCAGCUGCUCAGCUACGUGUUCAGUAGCGUUUCAGCACUCUCGCCUACAGUCUUCCGACCUGACCCGGGAGCUAAACCAAUCACAGGCCAGGCCUAAGCAGAAUGGCCCCGCCCACUCUCUUUCGGAUCCCUUUUUAUGCCGCGGGAAAGACGUGGCCGUGUUGGGAAGGUUGGGGCUUCGGGACAGAGAAAUGGGGAGCGUUUGCAGACAGGAUGCCGGUUCAGCGUUGGAGAGAGUGGGGAUUAGGAGGCUAGAGCUGUAGCUGAAGGAGCAGAGGUGUUACGAGGAGAGCACUCUGGAUGUACUUCGUGACGCGAGACCGUGAGGGGGUGAGGACCGGGGCAGAUGUGUUUUAUGGAGCAGACACUGGCAACCACAGUCCCCGCCAGGAGUAUCACUUCUGUCUCACGGUACAAGCCCACAGGACCCUGCCCCUGUUUGCGCUGCCAGAGGAGCCUGACGUCUGACUGGGGCCGGGGCACCCGGCUCCCUCAGUGAUGACAGCUGGGCAGCGUCUGGAGGCCUGGCCCUGAGGGCGCCGCCAACUGAGAUCCACCUCUUCAGCCAGGCCUGGGCACUGCGGGAGCAUCUAGUCUGGGUGCUGGACCAGCGCUCCUGGGCAGGGUAAGCGGCCUGCGCAGGGACCCCCUCCUCUUAGCCCGGGCCUGGACCUCUGAAAGCUGAGCCUUGGGACCUUGCCCUUUCUUGUCAGGACAGAGAAUAACAUUUGUUUUGGUGGAGGUUUCCAGGAACGUCGUGACCUGACCUCAAGAACAAGGGAUCUGAUAGCAAGAAGUGUGCAACAAUUAACCACACCCCUCCCUCACCUUUCCUGUAAAAAGGCUUUGCUGAAAGCUUUCAGGGAGUUCAGGGUUUUUAUGGCAUGAACCAUUGGUCUCUUUGCCUGGCCCUGCAAUAAACCUUUCUCUGCUCCAA